rnacentral:rRNA from 1 species
AGUGAACGCUGGCGGUAGGCCUAACACAUGCAAGUCGAACGGAAGCACAGUAAGAGCUUGCUCUUACGGGUGGCGAGUGGCGGACGGGUGAGGAAUACAUCGGACUCUACUUUUUCGUGGGGGAUAACGUAGGGAAACUUACGCUAAUAUCGCAUACGACCUACGGGUGAAAGCAGGGGAUCUUCGGACCUUGCGCGAUUGAAUGAGCCGAUGUCGGAUUAGCUAGUUGGCGGGGUAAAGGCCCACCAAGGCGACGAUCCGUAGCUGGUCUGAGAGGAUGAUCAGCCACACUGGAGCUGAGACACGAUCCUGACUCCUACGGGAGGCAGCAGUGGGGAAUGUUGGACAAUGGGCGGAAGCCUGAUCCAGCCGUACCGCGUGGGUGAAGAAGGCCUUCGGGUUGUAAAGCCCUUUUGUUGGGAAAGAAAAGCAGCAGGUUGAUACCCCGCUGUUCUGACGGUACCCAAAGAAUAAGCACCGGCUAACUUCGUG